UGUCGGAUUAGCUAGUUGGUGGGGUAAAGGCCGUACCAAGGCGACGAUCCGUAGCGGGUCUGAGAGGAUGAUCCGCCACACUGGGACUGAGACACGGCCCAGACUCCUACGGGAGGCAGCAGUGGGGAAUUUUGGACAAUGGGCGCAAGCCUGAUCCAGCCAUGCCGCGUGAGUGAAGAAGGCCUUCGGGUUGUAAAGCUCUUUCGGCCGGGAAGAAAUCGCAUGGGUCAAUACCCUGUGUGGAUGACGGUACCGGAAUAAGAAGCACCGGCUAACUACGUGCCAGCAGCCGCGGUAAUACGUAGGGUGCGAGCGUUAAUCGGAAUUACUGGGCGUAAAGCGUGCGCAGGCGGUUUGGUAAGUCAGAUGUGAAAUCCCCGGGCUCAACCUGGGAACUGCAUUUGAGACUGCCAAGCUGGAGUUUGGCAGAGGGGGGUGGAAUUCCACGUGUAGCAGUGAAAUGCGUAGAGAUGUGGAGGAACACCGAUGGC
rnacentral:rRNA from 1 species